GACGGACGAUUAAAGUUGGGCAUG
rnacentral:miRNA from 1 species